rnacentral:rRNA from 1 species
GACGAACGCUGGCGGCGUGCUUAACACAUGCAAGUCGAACGGUAAGGCCCUUCGGGGUACACGAGUGGCGAACGGGUGAGUAACACGUGGGUGAUCUGCCCUGCACUUCGGGAUAAGCCUGGGAAACUGGGUCUAAUACCGGAUAGGACCACUGCCUGCAUGGGUGGGGGUGGAAAGCUUUUGCGGUGUGGGGUGGGCCCGCGGCCUAUCAGCUUGUUGGUGGGGGGAGGGCCUACCAAGGCGACGACGGGUAGCCGGCCUGAGAGGGUGACCGGCCACACUGGGACUGAGAUACGGCCCAGACUCCUACGGGAGGCAGCAGUGGGGAAUAUUGCACAAUGGGCGCAAGCCUGAUGCAGCGACGCCGCGUGAGGGAUGACGGCCUUCGGGUUGUAAAUCUCUUUCAGCACCGACGAAGCGCAAGUGACGGUAGGUGCAGAAGAAGGACCGGCCAACUACGUGCCAGCAGCCGCAGUAA